rnacentral:rRNA from 1 species
UACGUAGGGUGCAAGCGUUUGUCCGGAAUUAUUGGGCGUAAAGAGCUCGUAGGUGGCCUGUCGCGUCGGCUGUGAAAACUCGGGGCUCAACUCCGAGCUUGCAGUCGAUACGGGCAGGCUAGAGUUCGGCAGGGGAGACUGGAAUUCCUGGUGUAGCGGUGAAAUGCGCAGAUAUCAGGAGGAACACCGGUGGCGAAGGCGGGUCUCUGGGCCGAUACUGACGCUGAGGAGCGAAAGCGUGGGGAGCGAACAGG